rnacentral:lncRNA from 10 species
GUUAAUUUGCAAUAAUCUUGGCUGACCUUUCCUUUCUUUGUUACCACAGAACAGGAGGUCUUGGCGUUGAAUACUGUGUUGUGAGUGAAAUCAGCCAGUUGGCACUAAAAAAUUUAAACAUGAUCCGUCCUUUGCAUAUUACAGUGGGCCAAUGGGAAGAAAGCCAAUGUGACAGUGUCUGGAGUGCCUUGGCCAGGACCCAAAGCCUAUCUGGCUUUGAAAUAUAGAUUUGAAAUGCUCCGAUUAGAUUGGGCAGGAAACAGUGAUGAUCAUUAUUUCUUGGGUGGAAGACCACAUGCUCUCUCUAUUCAUAUGCUGGCUCCUCUUACUGAAAUUCAUAUCAAAAAAUGUGUCUGUAAAGAUUAAAGGCAUAAGUUGAGCUAAUGUUCUUAUCUUAAUUAAGUACAUUUCUUAAACAUAGGAAUGAGAUGCUGAAUCAAAUGGAUUGCAACACCUAUAUUAAUGGUUUUAAGCUAUGUGUUUAGCAGGCACUAAACAGGCAAGACAAAAUUUCCAAUUUUUAAUUAUCUGAACAUUUUUGUAAUUGUCUAAUCCCAUGGGUCUGUUGCAAUUGCCAGGAUUACCCCAAAGCCAUGGAGUCUGCAACAUGCAGCAUCUUCUUACCAUUCAUGGCCACAGCACACAAAAGGAACAGGAAUUUGGAAGGAGAAUGGGCCAGAUAUGGCCAAGGAGAAGAGGAACAACUCUUCAUUCAUCCUAUAUUCUGUGACACAGAGUUUGAUGUCUUCAUAAAAUAAUAAUUGCCUUUCUAGACUAAGUAAAACUAAUUCUUUAAAGACCAGGCCACAUUUUGUUUUUUAUUUUAAUUCAGUCUUUUGUAGUUUCUCCAAUAUAUAUGUACUUUUUUCAUUCUUUGGCAGCCACUUAUGAUGUGUGAAAGUCAUACCCAAGUUUACCUUCAUGUGUUGUAAUUAUAAUUUUUGUUUAUGGAGCCAUUUAUUUGCUCAUUCCUCAAAAUUUCAUUGAAUAUGUCUGCGAACCAUGUAUUAAGAAAACAGGGAGGAAUAAGGUAAGCUAUCUGACCUUGAGUAUCUUACCUUUGGUAUAAAAAAAUUCUCACAUAUAAAAUUCAUGUGUAAUCCUGUGGUUACAUAAGACAAAACAAAAUUGUAUUGAUUACAAUCAAACCACUUACAUUUCUAUGAUUUCUUAAACUGCAAGAGGUAAAACGGAAAAUUCUCGAGGAAGUAGAUUAAUAGUUAAGAAAAUGAAGAACUUAUUGAGUAAAUUGACUGUGGAACUGAAGCCACAAAUGAAAUUAUAAAUACCCCAAAAUCUUUGGCUACUGAAAUAAAUAAAUAUAAUAAGGCAUACUGAAUAAAGAGAAUGUUAGUGGCUUUUUACACACCUGCUCAAUUUA